CGGAGACGCAGCAUUCCUUUUCCUGCCACGGCCAGGAAAGCUGAGCUUUACAAAUUAAUGCGGACUCAUACUGAUAACUCGGGGGCGGGAGAGGGCACAAGUGGUAUGGGCAACUCGGACCUACACGCCAUGGUCGCUUCACUAGUAGCAUCCAUGAGCAAGGUCAACGAGAGACUGGAUAGGAUCGAGGCUCGGAGCCCUCCUGUCAGGUCUCCCAGGCCCUCGACUGCCUUAUUCCCCAAUGCUCCACUAUUGCAAUCGGGUAAUUAUGUGCCCUCUGGUUCCGAAACUCACAUUAUCAAUCCUGUGCACAUGGUCCCAGACAAGAUUAAGAAAGACAUCUUGGACGGGAAGGAUGUCAAUCUUGUGGCGUUACUUAUUGCUUCUCACGAUGUGAUUGAUAACCGCACUUAUGCUUAUGGUGAUAUUUAAGUGGUGUUGAAAGCCAGGAACCCUAGAUUGAAUAAGAAACUGUCCAUAACUGAUUUUGUCUUGGCUUUUGGCAUAUAUUGUGAUGUAAUUUGUUCUGUUUAUCCGCAUAGAUGAGAGGACCUCUACAUGCACAAGCUCGUGGACUUGGGAAGCGAAUAUGGUGGGUCAUCCUUUUAUGACUAUCACCAAUCCUUUUCGGCAAGAGCGUCUGCAAUUUUGGCUCAGUAGAACGUCAAAACUGACUGGAGCCGCAUGGAUACUGAGCUAUUUUGUAGACAUUUUGCCGGUCUCAAGACACCAGCUUGUGCAGUUUGUGCUUCAACAUCUCAUUCCUCGGACUAUUGUCCCACUAUGCCAGAGACCACACCUGGGACCUGCCACAGACCAGGUUGGACAGAUCUGGCAAGGACAAACUUGGUCGCCCUAUUGUUUACCUGGGAAAGUCUCAGGUUUGCAAUAACUUUAACGUAGGUACCUGUGGUUAUAGUGCCUGCAGGUUGUUACAUGUGGGUUCACAUUGUUUUAGAGCACACGCUGUGGUGUAUCACCAAAUUAAUAUAUAUAUUACACAAGGUUCAUCUACAUUAAAAGGUAUUUAUUAAAAGGCAACAACACAAUAGUCUAUGUGUCCCAAUAAAAGUCAUACUAAACCAUACUUGACAUCCGUAAAGAUUGGUUCUUUGGCACACGCAUUAGCCUCCUAUCCAUCCAAACACCUAGUGGACUUUUUGAUAGAUGGUUUCACAGAGGGAUUCCAUACAGGGUUGGUUCAUACUCCCACUGGCAUUUAUGAAUGCAACAAUUUACAGUCGGCAUUUGCAAACAUGGAAAUGAUCGAUGCUCUAUUACAUAAAGAAUUAGAGGAUGGGUUUUUAUUGGGACCUUUUCACGAGCCCCCAUUUUCCAAUUGGCGAACCAACCCCAUAGGAUUAGUCACUGGGAAAUCCUCAGGGAAACACAGACUGAUGUUAGACCUAUCAGCACCUCACUCCUUGGCCAUACCAAGCCUUAAGUCCCUAAUUCCAUCCGAGAAAUUUUCACUCAAGUACGCUACCAUAGACAACGCUAUACACACCAUCAUCACAGCUGGCAUAGGUGCUUGGCACAGCAAAACUGACAUCGUCAAUGCGUUUAAGUUACUACCCAUUCGCCCGUCACUAUGGCAUCUGCAUGGUUUAAAAUGGAACGAUAUCUAUUAUUUUUUUCACAAGACUCACGUUCGGGUCAAAAAGCAGCCCAAAAAUAUUUGACAUCUUUGCCGAAACCUUAUGUUGGCUGCUGUUAAACAAUUGCAGAUGCCAGGCCGUUAUACAUUAUCUGCACGACUUUCUGUUCGUGGAGAAUAAUUCCUCUUCCCCCAGUGAUCUGACAAAGGCCAUAUCAUUUUUUCAUUCUCUGGGGGUGCCAGUGUCCCCCAAGAAAACAGAAGGCCCUGACACGUUAGUAAAUUUCCUAGGUAUCCUACUAGAUUCAGUAAACAUGGAAGCGAGCUUACCUCCAGGUAAAAUUGACAACAUACUACAAUCCAUCAACAAAUUUUUGGUCAAUAGGACAUGCAAUAGGAAGGAAUUGCAAUCUUUGCUGGGAUCAUUGAAUUUCGCCAUACGAAUCAUCCCGCAAGGCAGGGCCUUUAUUUCUAGACUCCUUUGCCUCCUCCCUCUCAUACCAAAUGACGUUACUCGUAUCAGCUUGGAGGCACAGGCUACAGCUGAAUUGCUAAUGUGGCGCAAAUUCCUGUUGCAAUGGAAUGGCAGAAGCAUGUUCUUGCCUCCAUUGUCUGUCCACUCUCCGGUCAUUUGGACAGAUGCGGCAGCAUCAACGGGUUUUGCUGCCAUAUUUGGAAACGAGUGGCUUUGGGAUGCUUGGCCAGAGGAGGUCCAGCACAUUGAAGGCUUCUCACGCACCUCGGCCUUAUUUGAGAUAUACCCCAUUGUGGCGGCAGCGGUGGUGUGGGGUCAGUCUUGGGCAGGUAGCUCGGUACGCUGUUUUUCCGACAACCAAGCUACCUGCGACAUCAUAAACAAAGGCCGAUCGGAGUCUCUAACGAUCAUGAGAUUCAUGAGAAGACUGACCUGGUUGGCAGCCUGCAAUCACUUUUAUUUGGUGUGUUCUCAUGUACCAGGGGUCUUCAAUACUGCAGCUGACAAAUUGUCUCGCUUUGAAUUCCAG
rnacentral:lncRNA from 1 species